rnacentral:rRNA from 1 species
UACAGAGGGGGCAAGCGUUGUUCGGAAUUACUGGGCGUAAAGGGCGCGUAGGCGGCCUUCUAAGUCGAACGUGAAAUCCCUGGGCUCAACCCAGGAACUGCGUCCGAUACUGGAAGGCUUGAAUCCGGGAGAGGGAUGCGGAAUUCCAGGUGUAGCGGUGAAAUGCGUAGAUAUCUGGAGGAACACCGGUGGCGAAGGCGGCAUCCUGGACCGAGAUUGACGCUGAUGCGCGAAAGCCAGGGGAGCAAACGGG